GAGGGUAUAGCUCAGUGGUAGAGUGCAUACCUAGCAUGCACGAGGUCCUGGGUUCAAUCCCCAGUACCACCA
rnacentral:tRNA from 1 species